GACGAACGCUGGCGGCGUGCUUAACACAUGCAAGUCGAACGGAAAGGCCCUGCUUGCAGGGUACUCGAGUGGCGAACGGGGGAGUAACACGUGGGUGAUCUGCCCUGCACUUCGGGAUAAGCCGGGGAAACUGGGUCUAAUACCGGAUAUGACCUUCCAUGUAGGGUGGGGGGUGGAAAGAAGUAUCGGUGUGGGAUGAGCCCGCGGCCUAUCAGCGUGCUGGUGGGGUAAUGGCCUACCAAGGCGUCGACGGGGAGCGGGCCUGACAGGGUGGACGGCCACAUUGGGUCUGACUUACGGCCCAGACUCCUUCGGAAGGCAGCAGUGGGUAAUAUUGCACGAUGGGCGGAAGCCUGCUGCAGCGACGCCGCGUGGGUGAUGACGGCCUUCGGUUUGUUAGCCUCUUUCUGCCGGGACGGAGCUUCGGUGACGGUACCUGCAUAAGAAGCACCGGCUAACUACGUG
rnacentral:rRNA from 1 species